AUAAGGAGGCUGAAGCCCCAGCAUCCAUAAGUCAGAUACCUUCUUCCUCUGUGGGUCCUCCAAGAAGUACACAUUCAUCUGUAGAAGGGGAAAAAGAAGUGAUCCGUCACCAUGAGUACGGACGCUGAGAUGCAAAUCUACGGCAAGGCUGCCAUAUACCUCCGUAAGCCUGAGAGGGAGAGGAUUGA